rnacentral:rRNA from 1 species
GUGGGGAAUAUUGGACAAUGGGCGAAAGCCUGAUCCAGCCAUGCCGCGUGUGUGAAGAAGGUCUUCGGAUUGUAAAGCACUUUAAGUUGGGAGGAAGGGCAUUAACCUAAUACGUUAGUGUUUUGACGUUACCGACAGAAUAAGCACCGGCUAACUUCGUGCCAGCAGCCGCGGUAAUACGAAGGGUGCAAGCGUUAAUCGGAAUUACUGGGCGUAAAGCGCGCGUAGGUGGUUCGUUAAGUUGGAUGUGAAAGCACCGUGCUCAACCUGGGAACUGCAUCAAAAACUGGCGAGCUAGAGUACGGUAGAGGGUGGUGGAAUUUCCUGUGUAGCGGUGAAAUGCGUAGAUAUAGGAAGGAACACCAGUGGCGAAGGCGACCACCUGGACUGAUACUGACACUGAGGUGCGAAAGCGUGGGGAGCAAACAGGAUUAGAUACCCCGGUAGUCC